rnacentral:rRNA from 1 species
CGUUUUAGGCUUUAAUAGUAAUAUGGUUAAUACUAUAAUUAAAUGAUAAAGUUCGGAAUUGCAUGGCUGUCGUCAGUUCGUGCUGUGAAGUUUAGGAUUAAGUUUUUCUUAACGAAUGUAACCCUAUAAAUAAGUUUUUAAUUUUUAAUAAAUAAAUUUUUAAAUUAUUCUUAUUUAAUCUAUAAUCAAUUUUAAAGAAAUCUUUUUUUUUAUAAUUGAUUAUAGGGGUUUUAGGCUGAAGUCAAGUCCCUAUGGUCUUUAUACGUUGGGCUACACACGUGUUACAAGGAUAAAAACAAAGAGACGCGAUAGAGUAAUCUGAAGCAAAUCUCUAAAAAUUAUCUUAGUUCAGAUUGUUUUAUGAAAUUCUAAAACAUGAAGAUGAAAUCGUUAGUAAUUGUAAAUUAUAAUGUUACAGUGAAAUAAUUGUCAAAUUUUGCACACACCGCCCAUCACGCUCGAAAAGUCGAUAUUAGCGGAAGAUUUUAAAAUUUCUACAUAAUACUUAAUUAUUAUAUAAUUUUGUAAUAAAUAUUAUUUUUUAAUAGUGUAGUUAAUAAGUAGUAUCUAAUCUAAUAUUGGUGAUUUGAGUGAAGUUGACACAAGGUACUGGUA